rnacentral:rRNA from 1 species
UACGUAGGUGGCAAGCGUUGUUCGGAUUUACUGGGCGUAAAGAGCGCGCAGGCGGUCGAUUUAGUCGCGUGUGAAAGCCCCCGGCUCAACUGGGGAGGGUCACGCGAUACUGAUCGACUCGAAGGCAGGAGAGGGUAGUGGAAUUCCCGGUGUAGUGGUGAAAUGCGUAGAUAUCGGGAGGAACACCAGUGGCGAAGGCGACUACCUGGCCUGUUCUUGACGCUGAGGCGCGAAAGCUAGGGGAGCAAACGGG